rnacentral:lncRNA from 1 species
UUUGUGAUGAUGACGAUGAUGGCUGAUGACGAGAUGAGACGAGACCCACGAGAUCUCCAUGCUCCCACGCAAGGCGGAUGGAGUUUCACGUUUGCAGCGAGGCGUGGGGAAAAGGACAGCUACAGGACUGCAGGGGCAAUCAUGAGAUGUUAUCUCUGUGGAUUUGUGGUGAGAGAGAGCACAAGUGUAAGAGGGAAGAGAAAGAGUAGGACUGAGGGGAGAGAGAGAGCGAGAGAGGGGGGCAUGAACAACCUUUUGCUUCACACUUUACUUGCAGGCUGCCUUGCCUCCCUACCGUUCAAACAAGAAAGAGAAAAGGAGAAGCCUAUUUCUCUCCCACCUCCCUCUUUAUUCUUCUGAACCACCCAACACCAACAGAGCCACAGAGAGAGAGAGAGAGAGGUGCAGUGGCUUUUAAUGCCCGCCGUCUGUGGGUAUCAUUCAUUACCAAACAUCGGCAUGCUUGGAGGUAUGGCUAUGUGAUAAUGACUACCGCUAUUCUCCAAGAACAGAGACCUAAUCACCGCUGGGAAUUGCAAGCUUAGGCAGCCAAAGAAGCAAGAAAACUAAGAAAACACACACCACUUGCUCUGCAGAACAGAGCAAAUGGGAUGGCGAAGGAAGGAGGAGAGAGAAGAAGCAAAC